GUAAUAUUUCGUUGAAUUUAUUAAUAAAAAAAAAUGAUGAUGAUGAUAAUUGCAAGAUUUAUCUAUGGACAAAUAUAUAUGAAAAAGACGAAAAAGAAGAAGAAGAAAGUCAUACAUCAAAACUGUUUCACAUUUAAAAAUGUCUUCCAUGGUCAAAGAAUUACCAUCAACUAAUGAAUUUUCACCACAUUGAAUUAAUCUUGGCUGGCCACUAACACAGGUGAUUAUUGCUUGUUGA